GACGAACGCUGGCGGCGUGCUUAACACAUGCAAGUCGAACGGAAAGGCCCUGCUUUUGUGGGGUGCUCGAGUGGCGAACGGGUGAGUAACACGUGAGUAACCUGCCCUUGACUUUGGGAUAACUUCAGGAAACUGGGGCUAAUACCGGAUAGGAGCUCCUGCUGCAUGGUGGGGGGUGGAAAGUUUCGGCGGUUGGGGAUGGACUCGCGGCUUAUCAGCUUGUUGGUGGGGUAGUGGCUUACCAAGGCUUUGACGGGUAGCCGGCCUGAGAGGGUGACCGGCCACAUUGGGCCUGAGAUACGGCCCAGACUCCUACGGGAGGCAGCAGUGGGGAAUAUUGCACAAUGGGCGGAAGCCUGAUGCAGCAACGCCGCGUGCGGGAUGACGGCCUUCGGGUUGUAAACCGCUUUCGCCUGUGACGAAGCGUGAGUGACGGUAAUGGGUAAAGAAGCACCGGCUAACUACGUG
rnacentral:rRNA from 1 species